ensembl:lncRNA
GUUAUGUUGGUUAAUACCAAGGUGUUAUGUUGGUUAAUACCAAGGUGUUAUGUUGGUUAAUACCAAGGUGUUAUGUUGGUUGAAACCAAGGUGCUUUGUUGGGUGAAACCAAGGUGUUAUGUUGGUUAAUACCAAGGUGUUAUGUUGGUUAAUACCAAAGUGUUAUGUUGGUUGAAACCAAGGUGCUUUGUUGGGUGAAACCAAGGUGUUAUGUUGGUUAAUACCAAGGUGUUAUGUUGGUUGAUACCAAGGUGCUUUGUUGGGUGAAACCAAGGUGUUAUGUUGGUUGAUACCAAGGUGCUUUGUUGGUUGAAACCAAGGUGCUUUGUUGGUUGAAACCAAUGUGCUUUGUUGGGUGAAACCAAGGUGUUAUGUUGGUUAAUACCAAGGUGUUAUGUUGGUUGAUACCAAGGUGUUAUGUCGGUUGAUACCAAGGUGUUAUGUUGGUUAAUACCAAGGUGUUAUGUUGGUUAAUACCAAGGUGUUAUGUUGGUUAAUACCAAGGUGUUAUGUUGGUUAAUACCAAGGUGUUAUGUUGGUUAAUACCAAGGUGUUAUGUUGGUUAAAUACCAAGGUGUUAUGUUGGUUGAUACCAAGGUGUUAUGUUGGUUGAUACCAAGGUGCUUUGUUGGUUAAUACCAAGGUGCUAUGUUGGUUGAUACCAAGGUGCUUUGUUGGUUAAUACCAAGGUGUUAUGUUGGUUAAUACCAAGGUGUUAUGUUGGUUGAUACCAAGGUGUUAUGUUGGUUAAUACCAAGGUGUUAUGUUGGUUAAUACCAAGGUGUUAUGUUGGUUGAUACCAAGGUGUUAUGUUGGUUAAUACCAAGGUGUUAUGUUGGUUGAUACCAAGGUGUUAUGUUGGUUAAUACCAAGGUGUUAUGUUGGUUGAUACCAAGGUGUUAUGUUGGUUAAUACCAAG